GAUGAACGCUGGCGGCGCGCCUAAUACAUGCAAGUCGAGCGAACAGACGAGGAGCUUGCUCCUCUGACGUUAGCGGCGGACGGGUGAGUAACACGUGGAUAACCUACCUAUAAGACUGGGAUAACUUCGGGAAACCGGAGCUAAUACCGGAUAAUAUAUUGAACCGCAUGGUUCAAUAGUGAAAGACGGUUUUGCUGUCACUUAUAGAUGGAUCCGCGCCGCAUUAGCUAGUUGGUAAGGUAACGGCUUACCAAGGCAACGAUGCGUAGCCGACCUGAGAGGGUGAUCGGCCACACUGGAACUGCGACACGGUCCAGACUCCUACGGGAGGCAGCAGUAGGGAAUCUUCCGAAAUGGGCGAAAGCCUGACGGAGCAACGCCGCGUGAGUGAUGAAGGUCUUCGGAUCGUAAAACUCUGUUAUUAGGGAAGAACAAAUGUGUAAGUAACUAUGCACGUCUUGACGGUACCUAAUCAGAAAGCCACGGCUAACUACGUG
rnacentral:rRNA from 1 species